rnacentral:lncRNA from 1 species
AGGGAGCCUUGCGGACAGGGAAAAGGAGCAUCGGUUUGGAGGUGAAGGAUGGAGAGAGAAGGGUGAGUUCAGGGUGAGUUUGGACCCUUGACACAUGACGAACUAAAAGUUAAAAUACCGCAGAAAUAGUCCCGCUCUUUAGAAAUAUAAGGUAAAAAAGGUAAAGAUAGAUAGAGUAACGGUAUACAAAGUUAGAGUGCAAUACGAUCGGAUCGAAUAAACCAGGAUACAAAUCGGAGUCUUGGUUUUCUUUUUUUUUCCUUUCGAUCGGAAUUGAUAUGGAUAGUGUUUGAAUGCAGCCACGUAUAUUUCUUUGGAAAAUGAGUAAAAGCAACAGCCCUAUAUAUCAUACAUGCUCUAUUUGGCCACUCGAUAAGUGCAAAUCAAACUAGGUUUUGCUCAAAGAACCAAAAUAUUAAUUUAUUGAGUUGCAUGGAUAUAUGGGUA